rnacentral:sRNA from 1 species
AAGCUAAAAGACAAAAAA